UACGUAGGGGGCUAGCGUUGUCCGGAAUCAUUGGGCGUAAAGCGCGCGUAGGCGGCCCGGUAAGUCCGCUGUAAAAGUCAAAGGCUCAACCUUUGAAUGUCAGUGGAUACUGCCGGGCUAGAGUCCGGAAGAGGCGAGUGGAACUCCUGGUGUAGCGGUGGAAUGCGCAGAUAUCAGGAGGAACACCAAUAGCGAAGGCAGCUCGCUGGGACGGUACUGACGCUAAGGCGCGAAAGCGUGGGGAGCGAACAGG
rnacentral:rRNA from 1 species